AUUGAACGCUGGCGGCAGGCCUAACACAUGCACGUCGAGCGGAGCGGCGGACGGGUGAGGAAUGCCUAGGAAUCUGCCUGGUAGUGGGGGCUAACGUCGGGAAACGAGCGCUAAUACCGCAUAAUAUCAGAUGAGCCUAGGUCGGAUUAGCUAGUUGGUGGGGUAAAUGCCUACCAAGGCGACGAUCAGUAACUGGUCUGCGAGGAUGAUCAGUCACCCUGGAACUGAGACACGGUCCAGAGUCCUACGGGAGGCAGAAGUGGGAAAUAUUGGCCAAGGGGCGAAAGCCUGAUCCAGCCAUGCCGCGGGUGUGAAGAAGGUCUUCGGAUUGUAAAGCACUUUAAGUUGGGAGGCGUUACCAACAGAAUAAGCACCGGCUAACUGCGUGCCAGCAGCCGCGGUAAUAC
rnacentral:rRNA from 1 species